UGGGGGAAUAUUGCACAAUGGGGGGAAACCCUGAUGCAGCAACGCCGCGUGAGCGAAGAAGUAUUUCGGUAUGUAAAGCUCUAUCAGCAGGGAAGAAAAUGACGGUACCUGACUAAGAAGCCCCGGCUAACUACGUGCCAGCAGCCGCGGUAAUACGUAGGUGGCAAGCGUUAUCCGGAUUUAUUGGGUGUAAAGGGUGAGUAGGCGGGCUGACAAGUCAGAUGUGAAAUGUUCGGGCUUAACCUGAGAACUGCAUUUGAAACUGCCAGUCUUGAGUGUCGGAGGGGUAAUCGGAAUUCCCGGUGUAGCGGUGAAAUGCGUAGAGAUCGGGAGGAACACCAGUGGCGAAGGCGGCUUACUGGACGAUAACUGACGCUGAGGCUCGAAAGCGUGGGGAGCAAACAGGAUUAGAUACCCUGGUAGU
rnacentral:rRNA from 1 species